GGAGGGUUGGCUGAGGGGUUUAAGGCGCUGGUCUCGAAAACCAGUUGGGAAGAAAUUCCCUCGCAGGUUCAAAUCCUGCACCCUCCG
rnacentral:tRNA from 1 species